rnacentral:rRNA from 1 species
CGACGUAAAGAACUUGCCUCACAGAUAGGGACAACAUUUGGAAACGAAUGCUAAUACCUGAUAUUAUGAUUUUAGGGCAUCCUAGAAUUAUGAAAGCUAUAUGCGCUGUGAGAGAGCUUUGCGUCCCAUUAGCUAGUUGGAGAGGUAACGGCUCACCAAGGCGAUGAUGGGUAGCCGGCCUGAGAGGGUGAUCGGCCACAAGGGGACUGAGACACGGCCCUU